rnacentral:rRNA from 1 species
AGAGUUUGAUCAUGGCUCAGGACGAACGCUGGCGGCGUGCUUAACACAUGCAAGUCGAGCGGAAAGGCCCUUCGGGGUACUCGAGCGGCGAACGGGUGAGUAACACGUGAGUAACCUGCCCUAGGCUCUGGGAUAACUGUCGGAAACGAUGGCUAAUACCGGAUAUUCAGGCGUGAUCGCAUGGUCGUGUUUGGAAAGUUUUUCGGCUUGGGAUGGGCUCGCGGCCUAUCAGCUAGUUGGCGGGGUAACGGCCCACCAAGGCGACGACGGGUAGCUGGUCUGAGAGGAUGGCCAGCCACAUUGGGACUGAGAAACGGCCCAGACUCCUACGGGAGGCAGCAGUGGGGAAUCUUGCGCAAUGGCCGAAAGGCUGACGCAGCGACGCCGCGUGUGGGAGGACGCCCUUCGGGGUGUAAACCACUGUUGCCCGGGACGAAUAUCCUUCUUUCGGAGGAUUGACGGUACCGGGUGAGGAAGCACCGGCUAACUCCGUGCCAGCAGCCGCGGUAAUACGGAGGGUGCGAGCGUUGUCCGGAAUCACUGGGCGUAAAGGGCGCGUAGGCGGCGCGAGCAGUCGAUCGUGAAAGUCCGGAGCUCAACUCCGGAUCGGCGGUCGAUACUCUCGUGCUUGAGCACUGUAGAGGCAGAUGGAAUUCCGGGUGUAGCGGUGGAAUGCGUAGAGAUCCGGAAGAACACCGGUGGCGAAGGCGGUCUGCUGGGCAGUUGCUGACGCUGAGGCGCGACAGCGUGGGGAGCAAACAGGAUUAGAUACCCUGGUAGUCCACGCCGUAAACGAUGGGCACUAGGUGCUUGGGGGAGCGACCCUCUGAGUGCCGGCGCUAACGCAUUAAGUGCCCCGCCUGGGGAGUACGGCCGCAAGGCUGAAACUCAAAGGAAUUGACGGGGGCCCGCACAAGCGGUGGAGCAUGUGGUUUAAUUCGACGCAACGCGAAGAACCUUACCUAGGCUUGACAUGCAUGGGAAACGCCUGAGAAACCAGGCGCCCUCUUCGGAGUCCAUGCACAGGUGCUGCAUGGCUGUCGUCAGCUCGUGUCGUGAGAUGUUGGGUUAAGUCCCGCAACGAGCGCAACCCCCGUUCCCAGUUGCCAGCGGGUAAUGUCGGGGACUCUGGGAAGACUGCCGGUGCCAAACCGGAGGAAGGUGGGGACGACGUCAAGUCAUCAUGGUCCUUACGUCUAGGGCUACACACGUGCUACAAUGGCCGGUACAGAGGGUUGCGAGCCAGCGAUGGCAAGCCAAUCCCACAAAGCCGGCCUCAGUGCGGAUUGGAGGCUGCAACUCGCCUCCAUGAAGCUGGAAUCGCUAGUAAUCGUGGAUCAGCUACGCCACGGUGAAUACGUUCCCGGGCCUUGUACACACCGCCCGUCACGCCAUGGAAGCUGUGAGCGCCCGAAGUCCGUGUCGGAACCCGCAAGGGACCAAGCGGCCGAAGGCGAGCGCAGUGACUGGGGCGAAGUCGUAACAAGGUAGCCGUA